UUAUGAAGAAAGCUGUGAAGCUGAUACCGUACCGCACCAGAUCGAUUACAAGUUUCCAAAAGGUCUUGAGGCUAUCUGGGCUAAAGUAACGACGCAGCUGAGUCAGACCUCAUUGUGAGGGGUUGUUUUGUUCACAAACUGUUCAAUUUAUAUAUCACAGUCAUUCUUUUGGCAUAAGUGGCUAUAGGUAUUAUUUUGGUUUUAAGAAGCUAUUGAAAAGUGAAAGUGUAUACUAUACUAUAAAUUAUGAGACAUCUUGAUCCCAUCUUG